CUUCCGUAGUAUAGUGGUCAGUAUGCAAGCUUGUCACGCUUGAGACCCGGGUUCAAUUCCCGGCGGGAGAGU
rnacentral:tRNA from 2 species